UAAACUUUGAUGUAUGUAAAUUAAGUUCGAAUGUAUUAUUAUUUAGUAUUAUUCAGCUUAAAGAAAUGGUAUCGUGGAGAACCGAGUUCGAGUUUCAAGUACCUGGAUUUGGGGUCGUCACAGCAAUUGACCAACACUUAGCAGAUUUUAAAUAGAAGGCAAAAACUGAACACAGAGGCCGACGCAGUUGUGUUGUGCCCCAAUGUUAUACCGGUGCAGCUGCGCUACGUCUGGUUCAAGCCAAGGACAACCUGCUUAGGCAUGAUUUCAGCCCAACCACAGAAAUCAUUCACGAAUUCGAUUCUAAUCAGUCAUAUAACAGUUUAAACAUGCUUAUAUGGUUACAUAACAACUAUGUAAACAUUUCCCAACCCCAUUAUCAUCUAAC
rnacentral:lncRNA from 1 species